GAAAUGCGAUAAGUAAUGUGAAUUGCAGAAUUCAGUGAAUCAUCGAAUCUUUGAACGCACAUUGCGCCCGCCAGUACUCUGGCGGGCAUGCCUGUUCGAGCGUCAUUUCAACCAUCAAGCCCCCGGCUUGUGUUGGGGACCUGCGGCUGCCCGCAGGCCCUGAAAAACAGUGGCGGGCUCGCUGUCACACCGAGCGUAGUAGCAUACAUUCUCGCUCAGGGCGUGCUGCGGGUUCCGGCCGUUAAACGACCUUCAUAACCCAAGGUUGACCUCGGAUCAGGUAGGAAGACCCUCUGAACUUAAGC
rnacentral:misc_RNA from 1 species